rnacentral:rRNA from 1 species
GAACGGCAGCGCGGGAGCAAUCCUGGCGGCGAGUGGCGAACGGGUGAGUAAUACAUCGGAACAUGUCCAGUAGUGGGGGAUAGCCCGGCGAAAGCCGGAUUAAUACCGCAUACGAUCUACGGAUGAAAGCGGGGGAUCUUCGGACCUCGCGCUAUUGGGGUGGCCGAUGGCGGAUUAGCUAGUUGGUGGGGUAAAGGCCUACCAAGGCGACGAUCCGUAGCUGGUCUGAGAGGACGACCAGCCACACUGGGACUGAGACACGGCCCAGACUCCUACGGGAGGCAGCAGUGGGGAAUUUUGGACAAUGGGCGAAAGCCUGAUCCAGCAAUGCCGCGUGUGUGAAGAAGGCCUUCGGGUUGUAAAGCACUUUUGUCCGGAAAGAAAUCCUGGUGGCUAAUAUCCGCCGGGGAUGACGGUACCGGAAGAAUAAGCACCGGCUAACUACGUG